rnacentral:RNase_P_RNA from 1 species
AGUAAGCCGUGCGGCAGCGGACGCCGUUUGCGCGGCGGAUGAGGAAAGUCCGAGCAUCACAGAGCAGGGUAGCUGAUAACGUCAGCCGAGGGCGACCUUAGGGAAAGUGCAACAGAAAUAAACCGCCGCAGCUGCGGCAAGGAUGGAAAGGCGAGGUAAGAGCUCACCGAAGUGCAGGAGACUGUACUGUCAUGUAAACCCUACCCGAUGCAACACCGUUUGGUUCGGCAUAUCAACGUCUGCUCGGCGGAUAUGCUGUUAUAGGUGGCUUGACCCCUGCGGCGACGCAGGGGCUAGAUAGAUUGCCGUACUCGACAGAACUCGGCUUACAGGCUUAGUC